rnacentral:misc_RNA from 1 species
ACCCGCUUCAUUUAUCAAACUUAUUGUAUCAUAGAUUUCAAGUAAAAAUACACAUUAAUUGCAGAACCAAAAAAAAAGGUAAAACACACUUUAAUUCCUCAAUUUACUAUGCUAAUCAAUUUUCAGAAGCGAAGAAAGUACUGAAGAAAGUCACCAUUUAACCAUAAUGAUACACGAAAACUCCUAGGCUGAACAUCAUCACUUCCCGUCAAUCCAAAAACAAUAGAUACAUGGAAUAAGCAGUCACCAGUUUAGAAUAUUCUAGUUGAUAGUUCCUAAUUGCCGUGCAUCCUGUAUAUAGCAAAAGACAGAAGCAUCGUUAACUAUUUCUUGGCAUAGGUAAUUAACAUUGAAUUUUGCUGUAUCUUGAAACCCUGAAGUCCAUGCAUUGCAACUGUUGACUGCAUCUCAUCUCCGUACUCUACAAAGGCAAUCCCUGGCUUUGUUUCCACCAUCCUAACCUCCUUAAAUCCAGGGUACUGCUGGAAUAACAUUUGCAGCAUCAUUGGAGUUGUCUCAUUCGGAAGAUUUUGAAUAAAAAGUAUAUUGUUUGGUGGAGCUGGAGCCUCAGGAGCCAUAGAUUUUGCACCACCUGGAUAGGGUAUUUGUGAUAACGGAGGAGUUGCACCAUAGGCACCAGCAUAAGCAGGAGCCAGACCAAUCCCAGCUUGAUUAGCAUCAUGCUGCUCUUUCUUCUUUUUUCCUUUCUCUUCGUGCCUCUUUCGUUUUUCCCUUGGAACAAAAGUGCCAUCAGCUUUCGCAAUGAUAUCUGAUUUAGUUUUUGCAAAUUGUAUUCUCUGUGUUAAAUACAUGAUUAGCACAAAUAUUAGUAUGAAGCAAAAUAGAUGAUCUAAUGAAUUCAUUAUUUUCAUUAAGCAUGAACGGAAAGAUCAGCCAUAGAACAACACAUGCUUUGACCAGUCAUCAAUAUAAUAGAUUAGGUAGGUAUGACAAAGCCUCACUAGUGAGAGUUUGGGAUAAAAACCUUAACAGGCCCUAACUGUAAUUGUCAAUUUAUUAUUGUAGUUUUACUUCGGUGCAAUCUUUGUGACUAGGUGUAUGAAUGUAUAUUGAAAUGCCCUUAACCUCCAAGAGUUAUUCCAUGACAGAAAAUCCACGCUCCAGCUCCUUCAUCAAAAACAUAUUUUAUGUAACAUAUGGUUAUCUCAUGAGAGACUAGCAAAGUCUACUUAGUAAAAUAAUAAUGAGGAGAAAUAAAUGGACAAUGUACAAAUUUUACUUGUUAAUAACAUUGAAAUGCUACAGUUCAACAUCAGGAGAAACAAAAAAAGUUCGGGAUUAUGGUAGUCUUUUGACUCUGCCAUACAAGCAGCGCCUAAUCAAAGGGCAUUAAGUAGAAAAUUGCCUCCCUUGAAAUUUGAGGAAGAAAUAUAUUCAUUUGGGUCCUCUAAUCAGAUCAAGUUGCAUAUGAGAACAAUUCAGCACCUUUCUACAAAGGUGCCAAAGGGUUAAGCAGUACUUAGUGCAGAGUCAAGGAAAAAAUGCCUAAACAAUUGGGAUUUAGCUGAAUGGUUUCGUGGUUUGAACUUUAGCUUAAGUAAAUUUUAAAAAAAUAAAGAGGGAGGAAAAAAAAAAGGCCACAACAGAUGCCAUAC